AAAUACGAGGUUUUUAGCUGUCUAUGUACGAGGGAAAAAGUUCUACGGUUGGCAACCCUGUCUGGUUGUCUCUUGUCUCUGGUGUUGUGUAAUCAAAAUCAAAUUUGAGUUAUUGGGGUUAGAUAGGAAAGUACUUAUUUAAAUUUUCUAAAAUUUAAGAAAGGUAAUGGCUUCAGCGAAUGCAGGUAAAGGUCUAGUUGGAUUAUUUAAGCGUGGAUGGCACGAGUUUCCAGAAGGCGUGGCUAGUGGUGUUGUAGGUAUUUUAGGAAUUGCAUUAAUAAUAAACGCAGUACGUAUGUACAGUGCCAAUGACGGAGACAACAGAAAGUACAAAGCAAAAUACACUGUAUAUCGUCACGAUGACCCCAGAGUUGCGAAAAUAAAGCAAUAGAAAUGUAUAACAAAUUUUUUGUUUUUGCAACUUUAUUCACUUAUAGUAUAUAAUAUAUACAUUUUUUGUUAAAUAUGUAGUAGUACUAAAUAAAUUGUAAUUUUAUUAUUAUAAAUUACUAUAAAAAAGAUAUACCACAUAUUCUCCAAUAAAAUAUCACUUUUGAA